rnacentral:lncRNA from 1 species
GGCGGGGGGAAGGAAGGGAAAAAGGAGGGGGUUUCCGCAGCGUGAGGAAAAUAUCGAGUGUAUCUAAACAUUCAGGUUAUAAAACAGGUCAAGAGUUCUCAGCACAAACAAAGCUGGGAGGAAGCAGCCUUUCCCAGCUGUUGGAUCUGGCACGGGCGGGAGGGGAUUUUUGCAUCGUUGGCUCCCAGCACGGGGGUCACCGGUUGCUGUCCCGGGGGGGUGCUUGGGACCACGCAGCCGAGCGGAGCGCUGGCCUGCUCCAUGGCCCCAAAUACCCCCUGGGCCAGUGGGAUUGGGGUCACCAGCAGCUGGCUUGGGGUCCCCAGGCAGGAGACCCCCUGCCCCAAAGCAGAGCCGCAGCCCCGGCCCCACGCCGAGGGUUGUUUCUCAUCCCCUGAGCCCCCACCACCUGCAGAGCCCCGGCUCCUGCCCAGGCGACGCCAGGACCUCGCAAAAUCCUCAGCCCCUGCCCAGCCCCUGGGGCGCAGGAUGGGGCCGGGGGGCAGGACGGGGGGCUCGGGGCCUGCUGCGCAGACGGGCUGGGAGGACGAGGUGCAGCGGGGCAAGGCGCCGGCAUCGCCCGGGGCUCGUUCCCGGCCCAGCCACCACCGCCUGCUCCGGCCGUGGCCAACGCGGCGUCGCCCGCGGGCUGCUCCGGCCUGGCUGCGCGCCACCAGCACUGCGGGGACGGGAUCUGGGAUUUCCAUGAGCGGAGAGGAAGGAAGCCCCGGCUGGAGCCCACGUAGCUGCUUCUCACACACUUUUUUUUUUUGUUGUUUUAUGUGCGUGCUGUUUUUACAGCUCAAAAUUGCUGGGUUUUAUUUCAGGCUGCCGUGCAAGCGUCCCGAGCUGCAGCUGCACCAAAGCCACCCAAACGCUCCCGCUCCCGAGGUCACCGCGCGCCCGCGGCCACGCGGGGCCCAUCCGGCCGGGUGCCGGCACAGCGGGGGCAGCCGCUGCCCCCCCCCCGGCCCUACAGAUGGGGUGCGGGACGGGGGCACGCGGGGUGAGUGGGUCCCUGCGUGGGGCAGCUUCGGCCUCGCCUUCAACCCCCCAGGUUUUGGGGAGCGCGUGGCCACGGGGCUCAGACCCCCUGCGGGAGGAGAGCACCGGGGGCCCGGUGCGGUGGGGGGGCUCCGGGCUUGCUCGGGGCGGGGGGAUUUCUGCGCUUUGGGCCCACGGAGCCGCAGGGAGAGCGGCUUAGCCGCAGCUUUCAGCCACUCGGGAUUUAAACGUUAAAUACGCCGGGAGAUUUCUGCCCACUUAGGGCCGAAAAUGGAACGGGGGCAGCGCGUGGUGGCCGGGGCCUGAGCGGGCUCCGGGGCUGCAUCGCGGGGUGUGCGAGGGGCACGGGGCCGGGAUCCACUGCCGGUGGGGGUCACGGGGGGGGCUNNNNNNNNNNNNNNNNNNNNNNNNNNNNNNNNNNNNNNNNNNNNNNNNNNNNNNNNNNNNNNN